AGCCUGAACGCUGGCGGCGUGGCUAAGACAUGCAAGUCGAACGGAUGUAGCAAUACAUCAGUGGCGGACGGGUGAGUAAUGAAUCGCUAAUGUGCCCCGGAGCCAGGGAUAGCUGUCCGAAAGGGCAGGUAAUACCUGAUGAGACCACAGGCAGGCAUCUGCCGGUGCUCAAAGCAGCAAUGCACUCUGGGAGCAGGCGAUUUCGUAUCAGCUAGUUGGUGAGGUAACGGCUCACCAAGGCGACGACGCGUAGCUGGUCUGAGAGGACGGCCAGCCACAUUGGGACUGAGACACUGCCCAGACUCCUACGGGGGCUGCAGUAACGAAUCUUCCGCAAUGCACGAAAGUGUGACGGAGCGACGCCGCGUGUAGGAUGAAGUCCUUCGGGAUGUAAACUACUGUCAGGGUAAGAAAGUUCUGAUCUACCCCAGAGGAAGGACGGCUAACUCUCGCGCCAGCACGG
rnacentral:rRNA from 1 species